GCACACUUCACACCCACCCUUUGCUGAGCUGCUGUGCAGGACAGGGAAGGGCAUAGAAGAACCAGCCCUGGGUCCUCCCAAGGGGUCUAGUGGACAAGGGCAGCCUGCAGAGACACAGAGCAGUGAUGUCAUCAUAGGCAAAUGCUCCAAUCAGGGAACAGGAGGGUCAGAACUCUAUGCCACUCACCCCAGGAGCCUCUCCCCCAGCCAGCAGCAGUCUUGGGUUCCUGAUGCUGCCAUGGGCUCCAGACUCCUCUGCUGUGUGACUCUCUGUCUCCUGGGAGCAGGCCUGGUGGAUUCUGAAGUCACCCAGACCCCCAAAUACCUGAUCAAAUCAAGAAAGGAGCAAGCGACUCUGGGAUGUUCCCCUGAAUCUGGACACCGCUCUGUGAACUGGUACCAACAAGCCCUGGGCCAGGGCCCCCGGUUCCUCGUUCAGUAUUACCGCGGACAAGUUAGUGGAGAAGAAAACAUGCCAGAUCGAUUCUCAGCAAAACAAUUUAGUGACUUUCGCUCUGAGCUGAAUUUGAGCUCCUUGGAGCUGACAGACUCAGCCGUGUAUCUCUGUGCCAGCAGCCAAGACACAGCCUCACAUGAUCAGGUGCCUCUGGAACAAAAACACUCCUGCCCCAGCUCAGGAAGUGGCCUUGAGGGUGUUGGCUGCCAGCCAGCCAGGCCCAGGCUCUGGUAG